rnacentral:tRNA from 1 species
GAUGACUUCGGUCACGACGGUAUGGCGAGCUUUCGCCGUCCACGUUUCUCUUUCUUCAAGAAGACAAAAAACCGCGUCGACCGGUUCCCCGAAUGGGCCCGUAGCUCAGUUGGUUAGAGCACACGCUUGAUAAGCGUGGGGUCGGAAGUUCAAGUCUUCCCGGGCCCACCAUUUGCACCAGCAAAUGAAAUUUGCUGUAGCGAAUGAGGGUUAGGGAUGAUGGAAUGUUGGUGAUGCGGAUUGUUGCCGAACCUGGGCUUGUCCUGGGUGAUCGAGCUGGAGGGGCUGUAGCUCAGCUGGGAGAGCACCUGCUUUGCAAGCAGGGGGUCAGCGGUUCGAUCCCGCUCAGCUCCACCAAAUCGAUUGGUGUUGAGACUGACGGCAUUUGUCUUUUGAAGAAAUAAAAGUUUUGCAUUGGCUUAGGCUGGUGCGUGUUCUGCAUACAUUGUGAAGAGAAGAUUGAUCUGGAGGCUUCCAGGUGUUGUGGGUUUUGCCCAUGAUGUCCGAGCCCAGUUCCUGUGAAACCAUGGAUGGCCUAGCCGGCCGGAUGUGGUGGAGGGAUUGGAGGUAGGUAGGAAGCUUGUCGCUCUGGAUCGUCAGCGUAAACCGCGUAGCGGUUUAUCGCGUGUUGUUCGUUGCCUUUGGGCAUCGUCUGACGGACGAUCGGAUUA